rnacentral:rRNA from 1 species
UACGUAGGGUGCAAGCGUUAAUCGGAAUUACUGGGCGUAAAGCGUGCGCAGGCGGUUGUGCAAGACAGAUGUGAAAUCCCCGGGCUCAACCUGGGAACUGCAUUUGUGACUGCACGGCUAGAGUGUGUCAGAGGGGGGUAGAAUUCCACGUGUAGCAGUGAAAUGCGUAGAUAUGUGGAGGAAUACCGAUGGCGAAGGCAGCCCCCUGGGAUAACACUGACGCUCAUGCACGAAAGCGUGGGGAACAAACAGG